UACGUAGGGUGCGAGCGUUAAUCGGAAUUACUGGGCGUAAAGUGUGCGCAGGCGGCGUUGCAAGUCGAGUGUGAAAUCCCCGAGCUUAACUUGGGAAUUGCGCUCGAAACUACGAUGCUCGAGUAUGGCAGAGGAAGGUGGAAUUCCACGUGUAGCGGUGAAAUGCGUAGAGAUGUGGAGGAACACCGAUGGCGAAGGCAGCCUUCUGGGCCAAUACUGACGCUCAUGCACGAAAGCGUGGGGAGCGAACCGG
rnacentral:rRNA from 1 species